CCCUUAGAUGUUCUGGGCGGCCCGCGCACUACAAUGGCGCGUGCAGCGAGUGCCGAAGUAGAGUUUUCCGAGGUAUUCUUGCAAUGCUCGUUUUGAUGGGGAUAGACCCUUGCAACUGUUGGUUUUGAACGAGGAAUUCCUUGUAAGCAUGGUUUAUCAUCCGACGCUGAAUGCGUCCCUGCCCUUUGUACACACCGCCCGUCGCUCCUACCGAUGAGUCGUCCGGUGAAGUUCGUAGACCUCGUGAUUGCGGAUCACUGGGGGAAGUAAAAUGAACCUCGCGGUUUAGAGGAAGGAGAAGUCGUAACA
rnacentral:rRNA from 1 species